rnacentral:lncRNA from 1 species
UUCAAAUACAUCUGAAGCAAACUCCACAAUGUUUUCUGUAUUAACAUGUAUCCAGAUUAAAGAUUCAAUCAUAAACUUUAUUUAAAUGACUUUUCUCUUCCCAACACAGGUCUGAUCCACGGUGCUAAGGAUCUGAAGUGUGAAGUGAGACCUGGUAUACUAUCAAAUGUCUCCAUGCCCCUGUCUCCUCGAAGGGAAAACUCACUUCACCAGAUUAUAAGGAACACCAAAUCAUUGUGAAGCCCUCUGUCAAGUUGAGAUUUGCAUCAUUCUUUGAACUGCCCAGGCUCAGCCCCUGUGAUGUUUUAUGAACUUGGCUCUCUGUAAAUUAAGAUUUACCGAGACAUAUUGCAGGAAUGUUUUAAAAUAUUACUCAUUUUAGUAGCAUUUAUAAUUAUGGCUGCUAGAUCUUUCUUGGCAUUCAUUGUGUUAAACCUCAAUGGCUCUACCAAGUAAUGGAUUUUGGAGAUGGCCAGUAAAACUCAUCCAAUACCUCCUAAGUUCUCACUGUCUUUAAUUCUGUCUCUAAGAAGGAAUAAUUAUUAAUCUUGAAGACAUCAACUGUUUA